UACGUAGGGUGCGAGCGUUGUCCGGAAUUAUUGGGCGUAAAGGGCUCGUAGGCGGUUUGUCGCGUCGGGAGUGAAAACCUCGGGCUUAACUCGGGGCUUGCUUUCGAUACGGGCAGACUGGAGGUAUGCAGGGGAGAACGGAAUUCCUGGUGUAGCGGUGAAAUGCGCAGAUAUCAGGAGGAACACCGGUGGCGAAGGCGGAUCUCUGGGCCUUACCUGACGCUCAGGUGCGAAAGCUAGGGGAGCGAACAGG
rnacentral:rRNA from 1 species